CACAGGGUGCUUGGGAAACUUCAGCUUCGAUUAGUAGGACCCUGGCCUUCCUGGCUCUGAGGAGACACUGAGGGGCUGUCAGCAGGGCCCCCCAUCCAGCCUUGGCAAAUCCAAGUGAUGGCUUUAGUCAGAGAAAAGUUUCAGAUGGUCUGUACUGGCCACCCCCAUCCCGUGAGGACAAGUGCAGUUUAAUGCUGAGGUGACACUUGUGUCCCUGCCUUCCAUUUACCCCUCUGCAGCUUUGCAGAUGCCCAGGGAACCAUCCCAGGUGGGACUGAGCCCCAUCUCUGAUGGUGGCCCCUGAGUGCUCUCACCCAAUCAGCUUGUGGUCUCCCUGCCCCACCUCCUGGACUUGUGACCUGAGACAGUGGGUCAAAGCAAAGCCCAGGAUUUCGAAUGAAGAUAGAGGGGAAAGCAGCGCCUUCUGGAAUUUGAACACGAAAGUGGAAGAGCCACAGGGAAGCCUGACAACCGGGGGCGGGGGGGAGGGGGGAGCAUGAUGGAGAGAAUCCCAGGAAAUGACCAGAGCCCUGGUCAACCUCUGACUGGCAGCCUGAGCCCAACCUGCCUCCGGGGGUUUCUUCAGCCCCUGCCCACCCCCGAAUGGGGACCAUAGGUCUCCCCCUGAGAUCGAAGAUUGACACCUGGUACCAGGAGGGAAGAGGGGAGACCCUGGGCCUCCUUCCAAAGCCACGCACACAUGGAGGUCUGGAACACACACAGCACUCCUCAGCCGGGGCCUGCUCACACCCCUUCCAAGCCGCACGGCUCAACUGAGAAACCGAGGUCUACCAGGAGACCCCACAGGGUUGCUGUGAGGAGUUCCUGCCUAUCAGCUGCUUCCCUUGGUGCCCGGCACCGUGACCUUGUGUGCGUGGCACACGUUCUUGCUGUGUUGGAUCCGCGGAUCCUUCCUCAUCAAGCCCCACUCAGGUGACUGGCUCCUCUACCUUAGUAGCUUUCAAACUUUUUUUGACCAUGACCCCCACGGACACAUGUUGCGGCCUAGUCCACAGCCCCCUGUGUAUCUGAAACAGAAGUACCAUGAAGCAGAACUUACUACACGCAAUGCAGAAUGUUGUUUUCUCCUCCAAGUACCAGCCGUGAUUUUACAACCUACAAAUGGGCUCUGACCCUCAGUUUGAAAAACUCAGCUCCAGACCAUAUUUCCUCCUUUUUUUUUUUUUUCC